rnacentral:rRNA from 1 species
AUUGAACGCUGGCGGCAGGCCUAACACAUGCAAGUCGAGCGGAUGACGGGAGCUUGCUCCUCGAUUCAGCGGCGGACGGGUGAGUAAUACCUAGGAAUCUGCCUGAUAGUGGGGGACAACGUUUCGAAAGGAACGCUAAUACCGCAUACGUCCUACGGGAGAAAGCAGGGGACCUUCGGGCCUUGCGCUAUCAGAUGAGCCUAGGUCGGAUUAGCUAGUUGGUGAGGUGAUGGCUCACCAAGGCGACGAUCCGUAACUGGUCUGAGAGGAUGAUCAGUCACACUGGAACUGAGACACGGUCCAGACUCCUACGGGAGGCAGCAGUGGGGAAUAUUGGACAAUGGGCGAAAGCCUGAUCCAGCCAUGCCGCGUGUGUGAAGAAGGUCUUCGGAUUGUAAAGCACUUUAAGUUGGGAGGAAGGGCAGUAAGCUAAUACCUUGCUGUUUUGACGUUACCGACAGAAUAAGCACCGGCUAACUCUGUGCCAGCAGCCGCCGUAAUAC